rnacentral:tRNA from 1 species
GGAGAGUUGUCCGAGAUGGCCGAAGGAGCACGAUUGGAAAUCGUGUAAACCAUUAAAGUGGUUUCGAGGGUUCGAAUCCCUUGCUCUCCG